rnacentral:rRNA from 1 species
CCCGCACAAGCGGUGGAGCAUGUGGUUUAAUUCGAAGCAACGCGAAGAACCUUACCAAAUCUUGACAUCCUUUGACAACUCUAGAGAUAGAGCCUUCCCCUUCGGGGGACAAAGUGACAGGUGGUGCAUGGUUGUCGUCAGCUCGUGUCGUGAGAUGUUGGGUUAAGUCCCGCAACGAGCGCAACCCUUAAGCUUAGUUGCCAUCAUUAAGUUGGGCACUCUAAGUUGACUGCCGGUGACAAACCGGAGGAAGGUGGGGAUGACGUCAAAUCAUCAUGCCCCUUAUGAUUUGGGCUACACACGUGCUACAAUGGACAAUACAAAGGGCAGCGAAACCGCGAGGUCAAGCAAAUCCCAUAAAGUUGUUCUCAGUUCGGAUUGUAGUCUGCAACUCGACUACAUGAAGCUGGAAUCGCUAGUAAUCGUAGAUCAGCAUGCUACGGUGAAUACGUUCCCGGGUCUUGUACACACCGCCCGUCACACCACGAGAGUUUGUAACACCCGAAGCCGGUGGAGUAACCUUUUAGGAGCUAGCCGUCGAAGGUGGGACAAAUGAUUGGGGUGAAGUCGUAACAAGGUAGCCGUAUCGGAAGGUGCGGCUGGAUCACCUCCUUU